UACAGAGGUCCCAAGCGUUGUUCGGAUUCAUUGGGCGUAAAGGGUGCGUAGGCGGCGCGGUAAGUCGGGUGUGAAAUCUCGGAGCUUAACUCCGAAACUGCAUUCGAUACUGCCGUGCUUGAGGACUGGAGAGGAGACUGGAAUUUACGGUGUAGCGGUGAAAUGCGUAGAUAUCGUAAGGAAGACCAGUGGCGAAGGCGGGUCUCUGGACAGUUCCUGACGCUGAGGCACGAAGGCCGGGGAGCAAACGGG
rnacentral:rRNA from 1 species